rnacentral:rRNA from 1 species
CAGUCGCCGCGGUAAUACGUAGGUGGCAAGCGUUGUCCGGAAUUAUUGGGCGUAAAGGGCUCGCAGGCGGUUUCUUAAGUCUGAUGUGAAAGCCCCCGGCUCAACCGGGGAGGGUCAUUGGAAACUGGGAAACUUGAGUGCAGAAGAGGAGAGUGGAAUUCCUCGUGUAGCGGUGAAAUGCGUUGAGAUCGGAAAGAACACCAACGACGAAAGCACUUUGCUGGGCUGACACUGACACUGAGAGACGAAAGCUAGGGGAGCAAAUGGGAUUAGAGACCCCCGUAGUCCCUGUCUCUUAUAC